AGCCUGAACGCUGGCGGCGUGGCUAAGACAUGCAAGUCGUACGGGUGUAGCAAUACACCAGUGGCGGACGGGUGAGUAAUGUAUCGCUAACGUACCCCGGACUCUGGGAUAGCUGCCCGAAAGGGCAGGUAAUACCAGAUGACAUAUCCUUAUCGCAUGAUGAGGAUCUCAAAGGGAAACCGUUCUGGGAGCGGGCGAUAUCGUAUCAGCUAGUUGGUAGGGUAACGGCCUACCAAGGCGACGACGCGUAGCCGGACUGAGAGGUUGGCCGGCCACAUUGGGACUGAGACACUGCCCAGACUCCUACGGGGGGCUGCAGUAACGAAUCUUCCGCAAUGCACGCAAGUGUGACGGAGCGACGCCGCGUGUGGGACGAAGUCCUUCGGGAUGUAAACCACUGUCAGGGGUUAGAAGUUCUGAUCAACCCAGAGGAAGGCACGGCUAACUCUGUGCCAGCAGCCGCGGUAA
rnacentral:rRNA from 1 species